ACAGGUGGAGGCAAGAACACUUCACACAAUUUCCCCAGAAAUUGUAACUUUUCUAGUUAUUAAGUGUUCUUGCAUAGCAAGACCACUUAAUGUUAUCUCACAUAUAUAUUAUUAUUAUUAUUAUUAUAGCAAAAUUUGCCACCCUAACUCCUCCCACAGUUUUUACACUACAUAGACAAAAAUUUACCAAAACGUGCAGAUUGUUUCCGAUCGGAUUGCUAUUACUUUGUGGAACGUUUCGCCGAAUGGUUCACGGAAUAUCGUCGUUCUUGUGGCGAAAUUUGUCCCAUAGGAAUGAAUGGCAAAGCUAGAGUGGGAG